AACCAUGACCAAGGCCAAACAGAAAGUCAAACAUCACAAGGUUAAUUAAAUGACUCAACAAUAUUUUUAAACAAUUAAAAACUUAAAAAUCAAUUUUAAAAUGAGUUAAAAGGCAUUUUUAAAUGGAAAAAACCUCAAAUCCCUUCAAAUCACCAAAUAAAUGGCCAAAGAAUUUAUCCUAGGUUAAAUAAGGUCAAAGGACCUUAGACAAAAAAAU
rnacentral:lncRNA from 1 species